GCUCUCUGCCAGCUGAUUGGCCUCCUCCAACAUGCUCCGCCCUCUGCUCCUCCUGUCUGCUCUCAUUGGGCUGCUGCCUGGUGCUGAGCAGCAGUAUGUUGGUUCUGCAACAUUAAACAUCUCCUCUUGUCCCAUCACAUAUUAUGGAGAGCAGUUCACAACGCUGUAUGUGACUGCCACGAAUGAAGUAUUCACAGCCUGUUUCGACAGCAUUGGUGUGGACUGUAUUACUGGGCCUCCAGUCGAUAAUCAGACAUAUUUCUACAAUUUACUGUUUGAGAAUGGAACAGAAUUCAAUGAUAAUUUGCCAUCUAUUUCCAGCCCACUGCUCUGCUCAGUGGAGUUGAAUGGGUUUUUGGG